UGGGGAAUUUUCCGCAAUGGGCGCAAGCCUGACGGAGCAAUACCGCGUGAGGGAGGAAGGCUUUUGGGUUGUAAACCUCUUUUCUCAAGGAAGAAGUCCUGACGGUACUUGAGGAAUCAGCAUCGGCUAACUCCGUGCCAGCAGCCGCGGUAAUACGGAGGAUGCAAGCGUUAUCCGGAAUUAUUGGGCGUAAAGCGUCCGCAGGUGGUUAAUCAAGUCAGCUGUCAAAUAGUCGAGCUUAACUCGGAGGGUGCGGUUGAAACUGAUUGACUAGAGUACGGUAGGGGUAGAGGGAAUUCCUAGUGUAGCGGUGAAAUGCGUAGAUAUUAGGAAGAACACCAGUGGCGAAGGCGCUCUACUGGGCCUGUACUGACACUGAGGGACGAAAGCUAGGGGAGCGAAAGGGAUUAGAUACCCCCGUAGUCC
rnacentral:rRNA from 1 species